AUGGGACCUGGACGAACAGUCCGGCCACCAAGAAAUACCCCGCAAUCUCAAGGUCAACAUUCUGGGUGUACCUCAGCAUCAAAAUCCAGGAAGGUACGUGGGAUAAAUAAGGGAAAGGGCUUGGAGCGUUUGAUCAAAAGGGCAGGUCAUCCACUAAACUUGACCAUCUCCGAAGAGAGAAGACCUAUUGGAGAAAAUAAUGAAUUACUUUCCAGAGAGAUUGGACUUCUUACACGGUACCAUGCACCUAUCCAACGUGCCGGGUGGCAUAGUCUGACUGAGGAUGAUAAGGAGCCGUUGUAUGAACUUCUAAAGCUUAAGUUCAAUCUUGAUUUCACCCAAGAUCAUGUCAAAGGCUGUGUGGAUCUUCUAUUCUCUUCAAGCUACAAAAGUUUCCGUCACAAGUGUUAUGAACAUUAUGUAAAAUCUGGUGAUGAUGCUAGAAGCAAUCCAUAUCCUCCCCUUAUUGAUAAUAGAGUUGGAGACUGGAUUUGGCUCUGUGAUCAUUUUGAAACAGAAGAAUUUAAGAAACGGUCCACAAUUGGGAAGGCUAACCGCUCAAACCUACCUUAUGUUCACAAGAAGGGAACAAAGUCAUUUGUAGCGGUUCAACAUGAAUUAAAUUGUGGCGAUAUCAGACUAUACAAGGAGUGUUACUCUAGUGAUAAGAAGGGAUGGGCAUCAGAAGAUGCCAGGAAUAAACAUGAAGAAAUGUUGCAGAAGCAAAAGGAACCUAUAGAGGAGGGUGAAGUACCUUUAACAGAGCAACAGAUUUGCGAGCAUGUGCUAGGUAAGGCAUAUGGUUACGUCAGAGGUCGGGGUCAUGGACCAAAACCAAAUAGAAGGGCUUACUCAAGCGCAUCAAGCUCAACUCAGCAUGUAGUGGAAGAAUUGGCCUCUACAAAGGAGAUUGUUGCUACGCAGCAAACUCAAAUUGAGGCUCAACAAUCUCAACUUGAAGCUCAACAGAAGAAGAUCGAUUGGCUACAAAGUGUCGUGUCUAACUUGGUUGGCAUUUCACCUCCUAUGGACGGCACUAGUGCAACAGGGCUAGGUUUCACAACUGAGCGGCCAAUGCCAUCUGACGGAAUAGGUUCGCUGAUAUCUAACACUGUAGAAAGGAUGUCAAGUUUUCCAAGAUCAUUUGCAAGUCAUUUGAGGCCAGGAUAUAGACCUGCUCCAACUUCUUCUUCUGAUGGCAAUGGCUCUCUGGUGUCGGAUGGAGGGUCCAGGUAUUCAUGA
rnacentral:rRNA from 1 species